UCAAAGCUUGCUUUGAUGGAUGGCGACCGGCGCACGGGUGAGUAACACGUAUCCAACCUGCCGACAACACUGGGAUAGCCUUUCGAAAGAAAGAUUACUACCGGAUGGCAUAGUUUUCCCGCAUGGGAUGAUUAUUAAAGAAUUUCGGUUGUCGAUGGGGAUGCGUUCCAUUAGGCAGUUGGCGGGGUAACGGCCCACCAAACCAACGAUGGAUAGGGGUUCUGAGAGGAAGGUCCCCCACAUUGGAACUGAGACACGGUCCAAACUCCUACGGGAGGCAGCAGUGAGGAAUAUUGGUCAAUGGACGAGAGUCUGAACCAGCCAAGUAGCGUGAAGGAUGACUGCCCUAUGGGUUGUAAACUUCUUUUAUACGGGAAUAAAGUUAGCCACGUGUGGCUUUUUGUAUGUACCGUAUGAAUAAGGAUCGGCUAACUCCGUGCCAGCAGCCGCGGUAAUACGGAGGAUCCGAGCGUUAUCCGGAUUUAUUGGGUUUAAAGGGAGCGUAGAUGGAUGUUUAAGUCAGUUGUGAAAGUUUGCGGCUCAACCGUAAAAUUGCAGUUGAUACUGGAUAUCUUGAGUGCAGUUGAGGCAGGCGGAAUUCGUGGUGUAGCGGUGAAAUGCUUAGAUAUCACGAAGAACUCCGAUUG
rnacentral:rRNA from 1 species